rnacentral:lncRNA from 1 species
UUCUUUACGACCUGUUUGCUAACUGAGAAAGUUGGUUUUCUAGAGAAUUUAUGAGAAAAUGGAAGCGUGAGAAAAAUAGAAGUAAAAAACUCACGGCUGGAAGCUGAAAACUCUUUUGGUAACCUGUAUGUGAAAACUGAAAAAAGCUUCGGGUCGACAAAAAGAGAUUUAGAGGGGAGAGAGAUCGCGAGGCUAGAUUAAAUCAACGGGGCACGAGAGAGGUCUCGUAUUUCUCCCCUUUUUCUAAAAUUUCCGCACC